GUGRAACUGCGAAUGGCUCAUUAAAUCAGUUAUCGUUUAUUUGAUAGUACCUUACUACUUGGAUAACCGUGGUAAUUCUAGAGCUAAUACAUGCUAAAAACCCCGACUUCGGGAGGGGUGUAUUUAUUAGAUAAAAAACCAAUGCCCUUCGGGGCUCCUUGGUGAAUCAUAAUAACUUAACGGAUCGCAUGGCCUUGCGCCGGCGACGGUUCAUUCAAAUUUCUGCCCUAUCAACUUUCGAUUGUAGGGUAUUGGCCUACAAUGGUAUCAACGGGUAACGGGGAAUUAGGGUUCGAUUCCGGAGAGGGAGCCUGAGAAACGGCUACCACAUCCAAGGAAGGCAGCAGGCGCGCAAAUUACCCAAUCCCGACACGGGGAGGUAGUGACAAUAAAUACUGAUACAGGGCUCUUUUGGGUCUUGUAAUUGGAAUGAGUACAAUUUAAAUCCCUUAACGAGGAACAAUUGGAGGGCAAGUCUGGUGCCAGCAGCCGCGGUAAUUCCAGCUCCAAUAGCGUAUAUUAAAGUUGUUGCAGUUAAAAAGCUCGUAGUUGAACCUUGGGUCUGGCUGGCCGGUCCGCCUCACCGCGUGCACUGGUCCGGCCGGACCUUUCCUUCUGGAGAACCGCAUGCCCUUCACUGGGUGUGCCGGGGAACCAGGACUUUUACUUUGAAAAAAUUAGAGUGUUCAAAGCAGGCCUUUGCUCGAAUACAUUAGCAUGGAAUAAUAGAAUAGGACGUGCGGUCCUAUUUUGUUGGUUUCUAGGACCGCCGUAAUGAUUAAUAGGGAUAGUCGGGGGCAUCAGUAUUCAAUUGUCAGAGGUGAAAUUCUUAGAUUUAUUGAAGACUAACUACUGCGAAAGCAUUUGCCAAGGAUGUUUUCAUUAAUCAGUGAACGAAAGUUAGGGGAUCGAAGACGAUCAGAUACCGUCGUAGUCUUAACCGUAAACUAUGCCGACUAGGGAUCGGGCGAUGUUAUUCUUUUGACUCGCUCGGCACCUUACGAGAAAUCAAAGUUUUNGGNUCUGGGGAGAUGCUGGACAAAA
rnacentral:rRNA from 1 species